GACGAACGCUGGCGGCGUGCCUAAUACAUGCAAGUAGAACGCACAGUUUAUACCGUAGCUUGCUACACCAUAAACUGUGAGUUGCGAACGGGUGAGUAACGCGUAGGUAACCUGCCUGGUAGCGGGGGAUAACUAUUGGAAACGAUAGCUAAUACCGCAUAAUAUUGAUUAUUGCAUGAUAAUUGAUUGAAAGAUGCUAUUGCAUCACUACCAGAUGGACCUGCGUUGUAUUAGCUAGUAGGUGAGGUAACGGCUCACCUAGGCGACGAUACAUAGCCGACCUGAGAGGGUGAUCGGCCACACUGGGACUGAGACACGGCCCAGACUCCUACGGGAGGCAGCAGUAGGGAAUCGUCGGCAAUGGACGAAAGUCUGACCGAGCAACGCCGCGUGAGUGAAGAAGGGUUUCGGAUCGUAAAGCUCUGUUGUAAGAGAAGAACGGGUGUGAGAGUGGAAAGUUCACACUGUGACGGUAUCUUACCAGAAAGGGACGGCUAACUACGUG
rnacentral:rRNA from 1 species